rnacentral:rRNA from 1 species
CCUACGGGUGGCAGCAGUGAGGAAUAUUGGUCAAUGGGCGCAAGCCUGAACCAGCCAAGUCGCGUGAGGGAAGACGGUCCUAUGGAUUGUAAACCUCUUUUAUCGGGGAGCAAAAGACGCCACGCGUGGCGUUUCGAGAGUACCCGAAGAAAAAGCAUCGGCUAACUCCGUGCCAGCAGCCGCGGUAAUACGGAGUAUGCGAGCGUUAUCCGGAUUUAUUGGGUUUAAAGGGUGCGUAGGCGGGUUAUCAAGUCAGCGGUAAAAUCGUGGAGCUCAACUCCAGCCAGCCGUUGAAACUGGUGAUCUUGAGUGGGCGAAAAGCAGGCGGAAUGCGUGGUGUAGCGGUGAAAUGCAUAGAUAUGACGCAGAACUCCGAUUGCGAAGGCAGCAUACCGGAGCCCGACUGACGCUGAUGCACGAAAGCGUGGGUAUCGAACAGGAUUAGAUACCCGGGUAGUC